rnacentral:ncRNA from 2 species
UUAAACUCCCGCCACCUUGGUGCUCGCGCGCGCCUGCCAGUGCGCGCAGUUAAACGGGAAGCAGGGAGCGGAGUCCGCCCGGACGAGCCAACCUGCGCUGCCCCCGCAACGGUAAGCGACUACAACGCAAGUUGCAAGUCGGUCCCAACGCGUUUUGUCCGGCCCAUUUCACCACUCGAAAUGGCGUCCGGCAGCACGCGGUUAUGCCACUGCGCCUCUCGCGCGGGAAGGCGGGCCGAUGCGUCGCCAGCCCGGAUACCGGCCUCGGGGAGAGCGCUGCC